UACAGAGGUCUCAAGCGUUGUUCGGAUUUACUGGGCGUAAAGGGCGCGUAGGCGGCCAGCACAAGUCAGUUGUGAAAUCUCCGAGCUUAACUCGGAAAGGUCAACUGAUACUGUGCGGCUAGAGUGCGGAAGGGGCAACUGGAAUUCUUGGUGUAGCGGUGAAAUGCGUAGAUAUCAAGAGGAACACCUGCGGCGAAGGCGGGUUGCUGGGCCGACACUGACGCUGAGGCGCGAAAGCCAGGGGAGCGAACGGG
rnacentral:rRNA from 1 species